UGGUCUGUUUCCCUAGAAAACCUCGAGCUACAUAUUCAAGUCCCGUUGAAGAGGGACAUCGUCCGAAUUAUACAAAUGCACAAAUAUCCCAUGGACUUGCCACCGGAACAUACAUAUAUCAACUUGCACAGCUUAAACACCUAUAUUCGCGACGCUUUGAAAUAGACGAUGAAUGCGCAAGGAGCACCCUCCAUUGUCCCUGGCUCCACGGGGGGGGGAGAAGCAGAUAUUCUUCUGCAAAUCUUGAAAAGCAACCGGGGUCUUCACUAACGACAAAACCAACAUACAAUGGGUGGGCACCAUUAGUACAGCUCCGCCAUUCACAUUCCGGUCAAUCCUCCUUCCCACAGAACUUCGAAAGAAAAUAAAAAUGACGGAUGUGCGAAAUCUGCUUAAGCACAUGAGGCAGCGGGAAUUCUUAUGCGUCCGUCAAAUGCUUGAACAACGGCAAAUAGCUCAACGAUCCGCGCAUUGGCAAAUCCUCGAAUCACUUUCUCGAUGCAGCAUGGGUAUUAUGAGGGGAAGGGGCUUACUGAGCCGAUCCCGCAAGUUGGCUCGGUGGGCAAGUGGAUGGAUAUCCUCCGUUUCUGCGCUGGCGAAGAAUUACCCGCUCAGCCGUGAAUUCCCAAAACAAUUACAUCCUCAUCAAGUAGAGAUAGAUCAUGCUUGACGUUGGGCAAAUAUGUACUUUGCACAUGCGGUAUACAUUGCCUCUCUCUUUCUCUCUCUCUCUCCAUAUAUAUAUAUAACUCAGGGAUAACACAGAGAGAGCGUGUGAAAUGCACGCCUUCAACUCAUGAACUCAUAUGGUCGAUGGUAAGAUCUAGAAGAACAGCAAUGAAUGAUCUAGGGCCAAAGGAAAAGAGCAAGAACCGAAGCAGUUAAUCUAAGCGGGUUUAUAGAAAACGACAGAAACAGCUUAAACUCCCCCCCAACUGUUCAAUUAAGUGAGCGGGUCUCGUACGCAGUCACGUAGUAUUUAUAUAAAAGAAAAGGGUAUUAUACCAAAGUGCGAUCAUGGGAAUCGAAAAUCCACCAAAAGAGCUCCCAAGAGCCAAAAAAAAAUACCCCGACCCAACAUCACCAUGAUUCCGCCUCGUAUUAUGAUUAUAAUUAUGAUUAUUAUUACUAAAUUAUUUAAUUCUAUCCCCCAAUCCGUCCAUUUCCAACGCCCCUGGCCGACGCAGCAUUUCUAUAAACUUCGCAAUCCUCCGCUUUACUCAUUCCUCUAGCAUUAGCUUUCGUCGUCGGAGACUCUAUCGGCUCGUUACUCGCAAAAUAACAUCACUAGCUGUCAGCUGCUGACAACGCACGAAUACCACUUCCAGCAAAAUGCGCUUCGUCCUGCGAGUCAUAACCCUCACCGUCCUCGUCGUCGAAAUACCGAUCUGUCCAUCGAGAGGAAUCUGCAUGGGAAGUCUUUGAUUGAGAAGAGGACAUUCGGCUGACAGACAUGGUCGGCUGGUGUGGGUCGAUAGAAUUAGUGAUGUCCGUCUUGGCAUAUGGUAAUAUGCGGUUUGGGGUAGCUGGGGACAACAGGGCCCGCAGUGCAUCCAUGGUCUCUGAUGACUCAGGUGGGUGUUGGUUCUCGGGCUUUGGUUGCUGGAUAGUUAGCGUUGAUGAUUUGCCCGGCGGAUCAACUUGGCCAAUGACCUCUUUGCCGGAUUCAGAGGGGCUGCGGCUUGUAGGCAUAGCACGCUCAGCACCGCUCUCAAACUCGUCUGCCGUCUUUGCCGCGGUUGUGUUUGCAAAGUGAGUGUCGACGAGGUGUUUGACGACGGGCCAGCCAUACGCGUUUGCAAACAUACGACGCACUAUAAUGUUGUUGUGUGCGUCGGGCUCAAGGCGUACAAGAACUUUGCGCCAGGAUAAGUCGCGAUGAUAGGCGCGAGCGAUUUUCUCCUCGACUUUCAUGCCACUGGUUGUACCAAGGACCGAAUCGGAAGUCGUUUGGAUUAGUGAGCUAUUAGACUGGUUAUCUAUACUUUUCGCCGUCUCGGUAGGUGAAGGAAGGCUACUGGUGCUAGAAGUUGGAAAAAAGCUGCGAUUCUUUUUUGGGGGCGGCGGGGGUAUAUCCGAUGGGUGGUAUACGCGAUCAUGGAAGAUAGUCCUGGCACGGGUUGAAGGGUCCAGGAUGUACUCUGUUGAAGGUAGAGGCGGUUUGAGGACAUCGCCCGCCGCUUCUAGAAUUGUUGUCUUUGGCGGGGCGUGGUGGCCAUCCUCCUGAUGAAAAGAAUCGCCUCUGGCUGGUUCGGCGCAUGGAGAGCGGGAGGGACCGUCCGUCCAUGGGGUUUCGGCCAACUCAUUGUUACCGACUGUCUGGCUCCGCCUAUAGAUUUUUGAGCUUUUGCUUUGAUUGUGGCCUUUUCCCUGUGGUCUGAACAAGGAAAGGAAACCGGCGAAUGGAUUCGGAUAAGAGCGUGGAGCAAAUUUAACGGGUUGCGUAUCACUCGGUGGUUCAGUGUUACGAGCAACAGUCAAAAACUGGGACUGUUUGGGAAGUUCUGGACUGGUUUCGAAACUUCUACUUGGUCCCUCUGGGCUCUCAGCCGGUGGCUCUGGGAUUUCGCCUUCCGCUCUCUUAGUUGAAGGGAUCAACUUUCCAUUUUUAACCUUAUCGUCCUCGUUGUCGUCAUUGGCAGAAUUUGUAGGUAC
rnacentral:sRNA from 1 species